rnacentral:lncRNA from 1 species
CUCAGGAAGCUUUCAAUCACAGGGAAGGUGAAGUGGGAGCAGUUAUGUCACACGGUGAGUGUGAGCAAGAGAGGUGCCAUGCUCUUUUAAACAACAGCUCUUGUGUGAACUAACAGAGUGAGAACUCACACAUUACCAUGGGGACAGCACCAAACCAUUCAUAAGGGUUCCAUCCCAUGACCGAAACACCUCCACGAGGAUCACAUUUCAACACAAGAUUUGGAGGGGACAAAGGUCCAAACUGUAGCACAGUCUCAACCCAGUUAUUUCAAUUAUCUAUUUCUAAUAAGUAAACAAGUCACCCAAUUACCAUGGUGUGAUCAUAGCUCAUUGGAGCCUCAACCUCCUGGGUUCAAGUGAUCUUCCUGCCUCAGCCACUUGAGUAGCUGAGACUACAGGCAUGCGUAACCAUGCUCGGCUAAUUUUUGUAUUUUUUUACAGGUGCAACCACACAUUUUAUUUUUUCUAUAUGUUUUCGAUCCACAAUUGGUUGAACCCACAGAUGCAGAACCCACAGACAUAGAGGGCCAAUUUGUAUAGAGAGGAAGGCAACCAGACCUAAGUGGUUAAGACACCAACUUAAUUUAAAGCAAAGAUCAAAUGGUAUAAUUCAGAUGUUUCUGUAGAUAGUAAACAUCCAGUCAGAUAAUACUACAGGCAUACACUGUUUUAUUGUACUUCAUUGUACUAUACUUCAUAUAUAUUGCAUUUUUUACAAAUCGAAGGUUUGUAGCAAUCCCACACCUAGCAAGUGUAUCAACUCCAUUUUCCCAACAGCAUAUGCUCACUUCAUGUAUUCUGUCGCAUUCUGGUAAUUCUCCCAAUAUUCUGAACUUUUUCUUAACUGUUAUUUGUGUUAUAGCGAUCUCAAUCAGUGAUCUUUGAUGUUACUAUUGUUUUGGAGGCACCAUGAACUAUGCCCAUAUAAUAUAGUGAACUUAAUGGAUACAUGUGUAUGUUCUGACUGCUCCACACAUCUGCUGUUUCCUUUUCUCUCUCCUCAGGCCUUCCUAUUUCGUGAAACAGCAACACUGAAAUUAAACCAAUCACUAGCCGUAUAAUGACCUCUAAGUAUUCAAGUGAAAGGAAGAGUUGUACAUCUCUCACUUUACAUCAAAAGUUAGAAAUGAUUAAGCUUAUUGAGGACAGCAUGUUGACAGCUGAGGCAAACUAAAAGCUAGGCCUCUUGUGCCAAACAGCCAAGUUGCGAAUGCAAAGAAAAAGUUCUUAAAAGAAACUAAAAGUACUACUCCAGUGAACACAGGAAUAAGAAAGCAAAACAGCUUUACAGCAGAUAUGGAGUAAGUUUAAAUGGUCUGGAUAAAAGAUCAAACCAGUUACAACAUUCCCUUAAGCCAAAGCCUAAUCCAGAGCGGGCCCUAACUCUCUUCGAUUCUACGAAGGCUGAGAGAAACCGCAGAGGGAAACUGCAGUGGGAAACUGCAGUGGGAAGGUAGCAGAGGUUGGCUCAUGAGGUUUAAGGAAAGAAGCCAUCUCCAUAACAUAAAAGUGCAAGAUGAAGCUGUAAGUUAUCCAGAAGAUCUAGAUAAGAUGGAUGCACUAAACACUAAACAACAGAUUUUCAGUGUACAUAAAAUAGCCUUAUAUUCAAAGAAGAUGCCAUCUAGGAUUUUCAUAGCUGUAGAACGGGAAUCAAUGCCUGGCUUCCAAGCUUCAAAGGACAGGCUAUCUUGUUAGGGGUACUGCAGCUGGUGACUUAAAGUUGAAGCCAAUGCUCAUUUACAAUUCCAAAAAUCCUAGGGUCCUUAAGAAUUUUGCUAAAUGUACUCUGCCUGUGCUCUAUAGACUCUAUAGAUAGAAAAACUAUGCCUGGAUGACAGCACAUCUUUUAAAAUCAUGGUUUACUGAAGACGUUAAGUCCACCAUUCAGUAAAAGAUUUCUUUUGAAAUGCUACUGAUCAUUAACAAUGUACCUGGUCACCCAAGAACUCCAAUGGAGAUGUACAAGGAGUUGAAUUUUUUUAAUGCCUGCUAACACAUCCAUUCCAUAGCCCAUGGAUCAAGGAAUAGUUUUGACUUUCAAGUCUUAUUAUGCAAGAAUAUUUUUUGCAAGGCUAUAGCUGUCACAGUGAUUCCUCUGAUGGAUUUGGGCAAAGUAAACUGGAAACCUUCUGGAAAGGAUUCACCAUUUAAGAUGUCAUUAAGAACAUUGAUGAUUUAUGAGGGGGGUCAAAAUACCAAUAUUAACAGGAGUUUGGGAGAAGUUGAUUCCAACCCUCAUUAAUAAUUUUGAGGUGUUUAAGACUUCACUGGAGGAAAUAACUGAAUAUGUGGUAGAAAUAGGAAGAGAACUAGAAUUAGAAGUGGAACCUAAAGAUGUGACUGAAUUGCUGCAAUCUCACGAAAAAACUUGAACAGAUGAGGAGUUACUUCUUAUGCAUAAGCAAAAAUGAGGUUUCUCAAGUAAAAGCUACUCAUGGUGAAGACGCUAUGAACACUGUUGAAAUGAUAACAAAGGACUUAGAAUGCUACCUUCUUAGUUGAUAAGGCAGUGGCAGGGUUUGAGAGGACUUGAUCCCAAAUUUCAAAGUUUUACAGAGAAUAAAAUGCUAUCAAGUAGCAUCACAUGCUACACAGAAAUCUUUGGUGAAAGGAAGAGCCAAUUAAUGUAGCACACUUCACUGCUAUCUAUUAGGAGAAACUGCCA